CUAAUAUCGCACCCGAGGCAUCCACGAGGAAAGGAAAAGAAAAAGUGGACGAGGAAUAGACACGGGAAUUACGGUUUGUAUCACUAUAAUUCAAACUUUAUUAUUAUUAAAUGUUUAAUUUGCUAAUUAUGUGUGGUAAGUAUUUUAAGGUAAGUGUUUAAUAAAUGAUAAAUUUACAAUGUGAUAAUGGAAUUGAAACCGAUAUUGAAUUAAAUUAUGGAAUACUGGAUAUUGUUUGAGUACUGCGUGAAAUGUGAAAAUACUGAAAAUUUGUUACGUAUAAUGUAUUGAAUUGUGAAAUUACUGUAGUAGUGAUUACUGCAAUACUGUGAAACUGAUUGAAAUAAGGAAUUUAUAAUUGAUACUGAACUAAGAUGAAAAAUUGUACUGAAAGUGAAUUAAAUACCCUAUUAACUAGUCGGGCUAGUCGGAUAUAGUUGGCAUGCCAUAGGAUAUGGAAGAGUACGGUGUAUUUGUCGGCUUACUGAUUAGGCACUUAUGUGCCGAUUACUGUUACUGUUACCAAAUCGGCACUUUGUGUGUCGAAAUACUGUUACCGUUACUGUUACAGAUUCAGCACUUUGUGUGUUGAAUACUGUUACUUUUACUGUUACUGUUACCGUUACUGAUUACUGUUUACUGGUGUGUUUGGUUGGAAUCCGUGUAUCCGCCGAGUCCGAGCCAAGUUAAUAGGGAUAAAUGAAAUAAAUUUACUGAUAAAACUAAUCUCGAAUGAUAUAUUAUAUGUGAAGAGUGAAAUUUGAAAUAAAGAAAGAAAAAAAAAGAAUGAUAUUUAUAUAUAAUUAAUUGCUAAUAUUAAAGAUUGAAUUGUUUAUUAGUAGUGAUAAUUGUGAUGAAAAGUAUGUGUGUGAUUUAAUGCAUUUAAUUAUAAAUUGAAUUAUAGUGAUACCACUGAGUAUAUGCGUACUCAGCAUACGGUUGCUUCCAUGCGCAGGUUGUAAAGGUCAAGUACUGAUCCAGCAUCCAAAACCAGACCCGACUUCAGCAAACUUUUGGUGAUGUAUAUUUUCCUUGGUAAUGUGGCAUGUACAUGGGAUGUGUAUAAAUGUUAUUAUGUUUUAGUAUGAAUGAUUAAAAAUGUUAGUAGUAUAAGUUUAUGAAUUAUAAUGAAAGAAGUUUAUCGAUCUUUAUUUAAUUUAGUAUAUUGUUAAAUUUAAAUUGAUAUUAUGUUGAUUAAGUUGAUUAGAAAGUAUUUGGAAUAGAAAUUGAGAAUGUGAAAUGCAUUGGUUGAAUUGGUUGUGAUUUGAAAAUGAAAUGGUUUUAAUUGCAGGGGGUUUUAUGUAAAAACAAGCAGAAAUGUUGCCGAAAUUUAAAAAAAAAAAAAAGAAUGAAGU
rnacentral:lncRNA from 1 species